UACACACCGCCCGUCACGCCAUGGAGUUGGUUUCACCCGAAGGUGGUGCGCUAACCCGCAAGGGAGGCAGCCAACCACGGUGGGAUCAGCGACUGGGGUG
rnacentral:rRNA from 1 species